UACGUAGGGCGCAAGCGUUAUCCGGAAUUAUUGGGCGUAAAGAGCUCGUAGGCGGUUUGUCGCGUCUGCCGUGAAAAGUCCCGGGGGCUCAACUCCGGGUCUGCAGUCGAUACGGGCUAGCUAGAGUGUGGUAGGGGGAGAUCGGAAUUCCUGGUGUAGCGGUGAAAUGCGCAGAUAUCAGGAGGAACACCGGUGGCGAAGGCGGAUCUCUGGGCCAUUACUGACGCUGAGGAGCGAAAGCGUGGGAGCGAACAGG
rnacentral:rRNA from 1 species